rnacentral:rRNA from 1 species
CGAAGGAUCCUAGCGUUGUCCGGAUUUACUGGGUUUAAAGGGUGCGUAGGCGGAUUUUUAAGUCAGUGGUGAAAGCCGGCAGCUUAACUGUCGAAUUGCCAUUGAAACUGAAAGUCUCGAGUACGGUUGAGGUGGCUGGAAUGUAUCAUGUAGCGGUGAAAUGCUUAGAUAUGAUACAGAACACCAAUUGCGAAGGCAAGUCACUAAACCGUAACUGACGCUGAGGCACGAAAGCGUGGGGAGCAAACAGGAUUAGAUACCCUGGUAGUCCACGCCCUAAACGUUGAUAACUCGCUGUUGGCGAUACACUGUCAGCGGCUAAGCGAAAGCGGUAAGUUAUCCACCUGGGGAGUACGGCCGCAAGGUUG